rnacentral:rRNA from 1 species
UGGGGAAUAUUGCACAAUGGAGGGAACUCUGAUGCAGCGAUGCCGCGUGAAGGAAGAAGUUCUUCGGAAUGUAAACUUCUAUCAGCAAGGAAGAAAAUGACAGUACUUGACUAAGCAGCCCCGGCUAACUACGUGCCAGCAGCCGCGGUAAUACGUAGGGGGCAAGCGUUAUCCGGAAUUACUGGGUGUAAAGGGUGCGUAGGCGGCACUAUAAGUCAGUGGUGAAAACCGAGGGCUCAACUCUCGAAUUGCCAUUGAAACUGUAGAGCUAGAGUACAGGAGAGGAAAGCGGAAUUACUAGUGUAGCGGUGAAAUGCGUAGAUAUUAGUAAGAACACCAGAGGCGAAGGCGGCUUUCUGGACUGAAACUGACGCUGAGGCACGAAAGCGUGGGGAGCAAACAGGAUUAGAUACCCUGGUA